CAAUCAUUUUUCCCCAAUUUGUUUUCGUUCACUCUUCCCUCCCAAUAAAAAUAAAUAGAAAACCCUAACUCAUUAAUUCCUCACUUCUGUCAUCUUCUCAGUUGCCCUUACAGUUUUCUCUCUCUCUCUCAUCCUUAUAUAUUUUCUCUCACUCAUCUUUUUAGUCGCUGUCACUUUUGGGUUGGGUAUGUAAUAUCUCUCAUUGUUUCAUUUUUUUUUCAUUUGGGAAAUGUAAGGGUUUUAAUUUAUUCAUCCUUACCGAAUCACACCGAGCGGUUACAAAGAUACAAACUGCACUACAACCCGAUUGACUCCUAUACAAUCUCUCACUGAUUGACUCUGACACUAAUCAGUCAUCACAGAUCGUGGCGUCCGUCGCCGUCGACCCGUGGAGAAUUAGUGCCGCCGAUGGUUCAUCCUCAAGUAAAGGGAAGCUCCUCUAGUUUGCUUCUAUGCUACUAAUUCUAGUUCAUCGCUUUGGAACUAUUCGAGUUUGAAAAUCUGAGGUCAAAUUUUGAAUGCUUUGAGAACUUUUUUACUGUGAAAGAUUGAUAAUCUUGCAAAAGGUGAUAAGUGCCCAAUAACAAUGAUAUCAACUUGGGCAACUGAAUUAUACUUGGACAAGAUAAAUCGUCUACUCUUGGAAGAUGACACUGCUUUGGAUAACCAUAGUUCAGAGUACUGAUCAAUAAUAAAAGAGUUAUGUGCUUUUCUAAGUGACUGCAAGGAUGUGUUGGAUGAGGAAACUACAAUGAAACUUUUAGAGAGGUAACUAUUGACAGGAUCCUCUGUAAGUUAAUCACAUUUUUCAUAAAAGUAUCAAAGCAAUAGCUAAUUAUUUUCUGUUUUAGUUUAGAUGGAAGUUUUGGUUAGUGUUUUAGUCGCUUUUAUCCGUGGAUGCUUACCUCUAACAUGACAGGUGUUACGGCAGUAUGUGUCACUUUUUUUAAACAUUAAUAAUAGUUGUGCAUAAGCAGAGACUGUAAUUAACUUCUUCUUUUUUUAAUCAUUUUUUGCAUAAUCACGUGAUCUUUUUUAUGUUCUUAUUUAGAUGAAAGAACACUAGAAUUAAUUAUUUAGCAAUAUGUUGCAGUUAUGGCCGGGUUGUAGAGUUGGUGUAUUUUUCCAGUUUAAAGGAGUAGUAUGAAAUUGUAAUUCAUCAUUACAUACAAGUGCUUCAUCAUUCCUUUCUAUUAUGCAUUUCAUUUUUGUGAUUUUUGUCAUCAUAAAUCGCAUUUACUAAUGUUUUAUACUAGUUUUGUACUUUAAUCCAUAAAUACACAUACGCACUUAGUAUUGACAUCUUCCUCCUUUAUUUAUUUUUUCUUUUUUUCUCUUCCAAGUAAAUUUAUCAUCACUUGAAAUCUAUAAAAUAUGUUUAUGUUCACUGUACGGAUGAGAUAUACAUGAUUAUGUUUUUUUUUCUUUUCCGUAUAGGACUUACUACUUAUUAAACUUAAAAACUAUUAGAACUAUCGUUCUUUUCUAUUGAAUUUUUCAGUUCAAUUCUAUAUCCUAGGCCAAUUUGUUUAAGUUGACAAGUAUUUAAUUUUGUUUUCCCGUAUGGAUUCUAUCAUUAGCAAGGAGAAGCAAAGAAAGCAUUGGAAGUGCUUCAGAAACCAUCUGUUUCUUUAGAUCUUCAGGUAUAGAUAUCCAAUCAUUUCAAUUAAAAUUGAUUUUUACCCCAGAUUGUUUAAUUCUCUAAAAUCUUUGUAACACUUGAUUAGAAACAACCAAAUAUAAAUUACUUAUAGAACUAGUUCUCGGAGUAAGCCUGAAACAAAAAGAAAGAGCAGCCCAACAAUUGGAAAAACCACUACGAACAAAGUUCAUCCAACUAGAAACACUGCAGUUAGACCUAGUGUUGAAGAUCAACCAAAGUCACAAUUUUCACAGCUCUGAAGUGGAAAACUUAGAUGUUUUAAGUUUUCUGAUGCUAUAUUUGCUGUUCUGAGUUUACUUUGAUGGAUUUUUUGUUUUGAUUUAAGGAUUUGCUUUGAACAUUUGGUUGUGGACCUUUAAUUUUGAAGUAAUCUUUAAACAUUGUAGUGAAUUUGCUAUUAUUACUUUAUUUGAAUUCGCCACUUGGUUCAGAAUUUUAUUAA